GUGAGGUUGGCAUGUGCCAGAGGCAGGAAGACAGCCAGGGUCACUGCGGUGGGCAAGGGAGAGAGUGGGAGGAGAGGCUGUCAGGAGGCCGCCCAGGUCGUGAAGGGCCUCGUCCCACUGCAGGGCGUUAGGGUCACGUCUGAGCGCAGCAGGAGGACACUGAAGGGGUUAAGUAGAGGGGAGCCGAGGUCUGAUUGACACUUUAGAUCUGUGCUACUGGUGGCCGUUGGGCACUGGACACGCGGCCGGCCCACAGUGCAGAGCGCUGCAAGCGUGAAAUACGCGGUGGCCUUUGAGAGGGCGCCGGCGCCCACUCCAUCCAGCUGGACCGCGCGGCCCGGGAGACGGAUGCGGGGCGACAGGGAGCGCAGGCGGGCGCUCCGAAGUCAGGGCGCGGGGCUGAGCGGGACGGAACGCAGGAGUGGGCUGCAGCUCCGGGUCCAGGAAGGCAUUUUUAGAGAUAAGUGACAAUAAGCCAAAGGACUCCCCACAAUGACAGUGGUUCUAACGAGGCUGAUGGUGUGUGACCCCAUUUCCCAGAUGAGGAAACCGAGGUUCAGAGAGACUCAGGCGGCCAACAGCCCAAGCUGGUAAGUGGGAACUAAAGCUGAGACCUGCUGCAGCUGGGCCUAGAGCUUGACCAGCCGAUCGGGGGGAACCUGAAGAGCCCAAGGAUGGACCCGCGGACCUCCAACGGGGACAUAAUCUCUGCCUAGAUGGGCUCCCAUGUGGCCCGGGGCACUGAAAAUACAGACAGAUCCUACCUUCAAGACAACCUUACUGAAGUGGGUACCGUCAUUCCCAUUUAGAGACAAAGAAACUGAAAAUCAGAAAGGCUGGGUGGCCUGUCCAAGGUCACAGAGCUGUCAUGUGAAUGGGCCAGGAGGCCCUAGUGGCACGCCCCGUGCCCUCCCCCCACCCCCCGGCCCAGCACUGUGCUCAGCCAGGGAGGGGUGUUAUAGAUGCAGAAGGCCAAGCCGUGCUACACACAAAUCAGGAUUCUACACAUUAAAAUAAAAUUGCACGCACAGUGACGAAAUAAGUUGAAAAUAGCCGUGCAGACGUAAUAAUCAUUAUUGACAUCUGUAAUUGGUGACUUGGCAUCCAGGUGUCACAGGGCUGUGUUAAUGGACCAGGUUGUUUACCUCUUCACUGCGUCCUGGGUUUUUGCAGAUUCCCAGCCAGUUCGGCACCUCUGUCAAUGGUGUUAAGAAGAUGCCCGGAGCAGCCUGCAGCCAGCGCAAGCCUGCUCCAUCCCAGGCCUCAGUCCUGUCCUCCUCUGUCCUUCCGAUACUGCAGCCGCAUGUCUCUGAACAGGAGCCACGUGCCUCCCUCACGUGGGGCUCAGGCGCUCUCAGUGCUCUCCGGUUAAGGUCCCGACGCCUCCGCGCCUCCACACGGCCUUCGAAGCCCUUCUGCGAUGAGCGCCUGCCCACUUCUCCAACGCAGGGGCUGCAGCCCAGAGUCCACCUGGACCGUUCCACUUCCCCACUGUGCCCUGACCUUGCAGAACCUGAGGCUGCAGACGUGGUUCCCUUUGCCAGGAGCAUCCUUUUCCAUCUCCUUCACCUGCUUCCUCCCGCUUACAUAGGUGCUACCUCCAGCCCCAGCAUCCCUCCCUGGAUUCCUCACCCGUCCUCCUGCCCCAUCCCUGAGAAUCUUUCCCAUUCAUCCCCAGUGGCUCAGGUGGCAAAGUGCAGCGACCCAGAGCCUGGACCUGGAAGUCCUAGCGGGGCUCCUGGAAUCUUACAGGGUCAUCACUUUGUUUCUAAAAGUCAAGACG
rnacentral:lncRNA from 1 species